rnacentral:rRNA from 1 species
UACGGGGGGUGCGAGCGUUGUCCGGAAUCACUGGCGUAAAGGGCGCGUAGGUGGCCUGAUAAGGGUGUGGUGAAAGUCCGGGGCUUAACCCCGGAUCUGCCGUGCCGACUGUUAGGCUAGAGUGCUGUAGGGGCAGGCGGAAUUCCGGGUGUAGCGGUGGAAUGCGUAGAGAUCCGGAGGAAGACCGGUGGCGAAGGCGGCCUUCUGGACAGUGACUGACGCUGAGACGCGAAAGCGUGGGGAGCAAACAGG